ACAUUUCAAGACUAUAUAUAAUAAUACAUAGGCUAAAUUAAUGAGCUAUACCAUGCAAAUGAUCCCACUAUUAAAGUGGGCUGUUCUUGGAUUCCACCACUUGUUGACGGUGUUUCUCUCAAAGCAGAGCUUUUAUUAUUCAUGGGGUUGUUAUCUUUCUUGGUUUUGCACUCCUGGCAGCAGGCUCAGAAAAGCACAUGAGUCGUUGUCAUUCCGCGCAACAUUUGCGGACGGGUGGAUCGAAUCCAGUGAAACUUGUACUUGUUGCGAGCCAUACGGCGGCGGCAGCGUCCCGGAGCUGUCAGAAAUUGCGCACAGCCUUCAGUCUUCAGUCAGUGGAGUUACCAGACUAAUCCAUCAAACAACUCGGAAGAUUAACCUUUUUUAGCCUCGCGAAAGUAGGUAUUAGUCUCCACACCCGGAAGCUUGUUUUAAAUUUCACGAUGAUUUUCGUCACAUGGCUUUGGAGAAUUCAAUAACAACAAAAAAUGGCGACAAUCACGUUGUGUAGUCUUGCUGCGUCAUUAAAAAUAGUCAUGUAAACACGGGACAUUAAACGGGAAAUUUGCAGUGCCCUGAGCAGCGGGACUAAUGGAGUUGUUUACAUGAAGUGCGGAGGGCGGAUGACGAGGAGGAGGAGCCGCUACGUCGGGCAGAGACGCCACCGGACUGCUCCAGAGGCUGCCUUCACCGAGGGGGGCGGAGCCCGCGAGGAGAAUCAUAACAAGUCUGACGUCACUCGGCCUUGUGGUUGGUAUGAAUAAUAUACAGUAGUUUGUCUCGACCAAGUCCUAGCAGGAAGGAGGUUUGGAAAAAACAAAGUCUUUCUACCUGUAAUUGUUUUAUAAGAUGCAACAUUUACGAGCCCUAUGUGCACCAGCAGAAUGGAAACUAAUGGAAAAUAAUAUAAAAAAAAACUUUAAUAUGGAAAGAGAAAAAUAACUAACCAUGUUAAAAUAUCCUACGUAGGACUUUGAAGCAAGCUUCCUCCUCCCAUUUCCAAGAAUUGUGCAAUGUUGUUUUUAAUCACAGAUUCACAGCCAGUAGGUAGAGUUCAAAUUUCAUGUGCAGGGUUGUGCAUUAUUAACUGUCAUUAGAGUUAGGGUUACCUUCCCAGGUAGACGUUUCAUCAUAUAAUGGACAACAGAGUCUGUCGUUUGCAGUACAGAAUCAAUAACUGUACCACUUUUGGUACAAACCUACCUUAUCUCAAAGGCCUAAAUAAAUAAAUUACAUACAAUGACAUUGUCCUGAUUAAUGUGCAUAUGUGAGCUUACUCAUUUAACUUUUAAGACUUUGUGAUCCAAACUUUUCUGACAAUUGUUCAUUGACAAUUUAUUUAUGUUCCCACAAUCAGACUAUGUUAUAUAGUUUAUGUUUUGUCUUUUUCACUCUGACUUUAUGAAUUAGUUUUUUUAAUGGUAUUAUAUCUCCCCAAAAUGUUAUUGGAUCUUUAAGGGUUAAAUCCCAUGGUUAGAGGGCAAAGUAUUUCCUGCUGGUGAUUAGUUGGAAGGAUAUUUAAAAAACUAAUGUAUCAGAUUGUUAAAUAACAUGCCUAAUAUUACUCUGUAGAUUAAUCUGUUAUUGUAUUAGCUACUGUGUGUUAUUUGAAAAGUAUUUAUACAUUAUGCAAACAAACGAAAUGCUGGAGAUACAACUAGCAUAUGUUUUGAAUGAGAUACCAUCAAAUGUGCUGCAAAAAAUGCAAAAGGAAAACAUUAUUAUCUUUGUAUCUGUUGACCUGGAGCACACAUUAUGGUUGGAUGACGAAUGGAGCAAAGCCGCGGACUGCUAGAUUUGUCAGGCUGCCCUGGUUCAGUUAUCACGGUGCUGAUGCUGUCCCCAUCGAAGGUACAGUACUGUGAUAACUGAAGGAUGGCUGCCAACUUGACCCAAGUGCAGUGAAUCAAAGCAUGUUCGGCUAACGAGCCAGAGGACCAAAGAGAAGGUGGACAAGUGUGAGUAUGUAAACAAAAAAUAUUGUGGUACAUUGCUUUAAAAACCUUAAUGUGAUAUCCAGAAGUCCAUGUGUUUUUAUUUACAAAGUAGUUUUCCCUUGUUGAACAAUCUUUUAGGCCUUUUUUGUACGUUGAAGUAUAAGAAACUCAAAACCUGUAAGUUAGUAUUAUCUUCACUAAUUAUGUAACUUCUGCUUAACUAUAAGAAAUAAAGUGAAUUUCUUUAAUUCAAA